CUUUCCUUGAGAGCUUGUUUGGAGGUUCUAGCAGGGGAGCACAGCUACUUGUAUACCCUUGACCGAAGAAUGGUCCUCCUCUAUCGGGGAAGGUCGUCCCCUUCGACUGAGCGCGCAGCUUCGGGAGGGACACACAUGGAGCGGUGAGCGAGGAAGGGGACACCCGCCUAGCCAGCCAGAUCAGCCGAAUCAACCCUGGCGAUCAAUGGGGUGACAGAUGUCGCAGCCAGAUCGGAACAGUACACAUCUGA